GAUCCUGGCUCAGAUUGAACGCUGGCGGCAGGCCUAACACAUGCAAGUCGAGCGGUAGAGAGAAGCUUGCUUCUCUUGAGAGCGGCGGACGGGUGAGUAAUACCUAGGAAUCUGCCUGAUAGUGGGGGAUAACGUUCGGAAACGGACGCUAAUACCGCAUACGUCCUACGGGAGAAAGCAGGGGACCUUCGGGCCUUGCGCUAUCAGAUGAGCCUAGGUCGGAUUAGCUAGUUGGUGAGGUAAUGGCUCACCAAGGCUACGAUCCGUAACUGGUCUGAGAGGAUGAUCAGUCACACUGGAACUGAGACACGGUCCAGACUCCUACGGGAGGCAGCAGUGGGGAAUAUUGGACAAUGGGCGAAAGCCUGAUCCAGCCAUGCCGCGUGUGUGAAGAAGGUCUUCGGAUUGUAAAGCACUUUAAGUUGGGAGGAAGGGCAUUAACCUAAUACGUUAGUGUCUUGACGUUACCGACAGAAUAAGCACCGGCUAAC
rnacentral:rRNA from 1 species